GAUGAACGCUGGCGGCGUGCCUAAUACAUGCAAGUCGAGCGAACAGACGAGGAGCUUGCUCCUCUGACGUUAGCGGCGGACGGGUGAGUAACACGUGGAUAACCUACCUAUAAGACUGGGAAACUUUGGGAAACCGGAGCUAAUUCCGGAAAAUAUAUUUAACCGCAUGGUUUAAUAGUUAAAGACGGUUUUGCUGUUACCUAUUGAUGGAUCCGCGCCGCAUUAGCUAGUUGGUAAGGUAACGGCUUACCAAGGCAACGAUGCGUAGCCGACCUGAGAGGGUGAUCGGCCACACUGGAACUGAGACACGGUCCAGACUCCUACGGGAGGCAGCAGUAGGGAAUCUUCCGCAAUGGGCGAAAGCCUGACGGAGCAACGCCGCGUGAGUGAUGAAGGUCUUCGGAUCGUAAAACUCUGUUAUUAGGGAAGAACAAAUGUGUAAGUAACUAUGCACGUCUUGACGGUACCUAAUCAGAAAGCCACGGCUAACUACGUG
rnacentral:rRNA from 1 species